rnacentral:rRNA from 1 species
GACGAACGCUGGCGGCGUGCUUAACACAUGCAAGUCGAACGGUGAAGCUCCAGCUUGCUGGAGUGGAUCAGUGGCGAACGGGUGAGUAACACGUGAGCAACCUGCCCCUGACUCUGGAAUAAGCGCUGGAAACGGCGUCUAAUACUGGAUACGAGAAGGGUCCGCAUGGGCACUUUCUGGAAAGUUUUUCGGUUGGGGAUGGGCUCGCGGCCUAUCAGCUUGUUGGUGAGGUAAUGGCUCACCAAGGCGACGACGGGUAGCCGGCCUGAGAGGGCGACCGGCCACACUGGGACGGAGACACGGCCCAGACUCCUACGGGAGGCAGCAGUGGGGAAUAGUGCACAAUGGGCGAAAGCCUGAUGCAGCGACGCCGCGGGAGGGAUGACGGCCUUCGGGUUGUAAACCUCUUUCAGCAGGGAAGAAGCGAAAGUGACGGUACCUGCAGAAGAAGCACCGGCUAACUACGUG